GAUGAACGCUGGCGGCGUGCCUAAUACAUGCAAGUCGAGCGAACAGACUAGUAGCUUGCUCCUCUGACGUUAUCGGCGUACGGGUGAGUAACACGUGGAUAACCUACCUAUAAGACUGGGAUACCUUCGGGAAAUCGGAGCUACUACCUGUUUAUAUUUUGAACCUCAUGUUUCAAUAGUUAUAGCCGGUUUUGCUGUCACUUCUCGAUGGAUCCGCGACGCUUUAGCUACUUGUUAAGGUAACGGAUUACCAAGGCAACGAUGCGUAGCGGACCUGAGAGGAUGAUCGGACACACUAGAACUGAAACGAGGUACAGACUACUACGGGAGGGAGCAGUAGGGAAUCUUACGCAAUGGGAGAAAGCUUGACGGAGCAAAGCCGCGUGAGUGAUGAAGGUAUUCGGAUAUUAAAACUAUGUUAUUAGGGAAGAACAAAUGUGUAAGUAACGAUGCACGACUUGAAGGUACCGAAUCAGAAAGCCACGGCUAACUACGUG
rnacentral:rRNA from 1 species